UACGGGGGGUGCGAGCGUUGUCCGGAAUCACUGGGCGUAAAGGGCGCGUAGGUGGUUUGAUAAGGGUGUGGUGAAAGUCCGGGGCUCAACUCCGGAUCUGCCGUGCCGACUGUCAAACUCGAGGGCUGUAGAGGCAGACGGAAUUCCGGGUGUAGCGGUGGAAUGCGUAGAGAUCGGGUGGAACACCAGCGGCGAAGGCGGCAUCCUGGCCCUGUACUGACGCUGAGGCGCGAUAGCGUGGGGAGCAAACGGG
rnacentral:rRNA from 1 species